UCUCCGUUGGUGAACCAGCGGAGGGAUCAUUACAGAGAACAGACGCCGCGCCGGUCCUCCGGGGCCGUCGCGUCUAUGUCCUGCACACCUGUUGUUUUACCGCCUGCCGGGCCGUGUUGCCUCGGCGGGGAAAGGGCCCCGUCUUUUCGCCGGAGCCCGGACCCCGCCGAAGGUACCGCCCAAAAAACUCAUGUUAAUCUUAAGGACCUUCUGAGAAAACUUAUAAAUAAGUAAAAACUUUCAACAACGGAUCUCUUGGUUAUGGCAUCGAUGAAGAACGCAGC
rnacentral:misc_RNA from 1 species